rnacentral:rRNA from 1 species
CGUGUAGCAGUGAAAUGCGUAGAUAUGCGGAGGACCACCGAUGGCGAAGGCAAUCCCCUGGGCCUGCACUGACGCUCAUGCACGAAAGCGUGGGGAGCAAACAGGAUUAGAUACCCUGGUAGUCCACGCCCUAAACGAUGUCAACUGGUUGUUGGACGGCUUGCUGUUCAGUAACGAAGCUAACGCGUGGAGUUGACCGCCUGGGGAGUACGGCCGCAAGGUUGGAACUCAAAGGAAUUGACGGGGACCCGCACAAGCGGUGGAUGAUGUGGUUUAAUUCGAUGCAACGCGAAAAACCUUACCUACCCUUGACAUGCCAGGAACUUGCCAGAGAUGGCUUGGUGCUCGAAAGAGAGCCUGGACACAGGUGCUGCAUGGCCGUCGUCAGCUCGUGCCGUGAGAUGUUGGGUUAAGUCCCGCAACGAGCGCAACCCUUAUCAUUAGUUGCUACGCAAGGGCACUCUAAUGAGACUGCCGGUGACAAACCGGAGGAAGGUGGGGAUGACGUCAGGUCAUCAUGGCCCUUAUGGGUAGGGCUACACACGUCAUACAAUGGCCGGUACAGAGGGCUGCCAACCCGCGAGGGGGAGCUAAUCUCAGAAAACCGGUCGUAGUCCGGAUCGCAGUCUGCAACUCGACUGCGUGAAGUCGGAAUCGCUAGUAAUCGCGGAUCAGCUUGCCGCGGUGAAUACGUUCCCGGGUCUUGUACACACCGCCCGUCACACCAUGGGAGCGGGUUCUGCCAGAAGUAGUUAGCCUAACCGCAAGGGGGGCGAUACCACGGCA